rnacentral:rRNA from 1 species
AUUGCACGCUGGCGGCAGGCUUAACACAUGCACGUCGAACGGAGUGUCGGACGGGUGAGUAAUGCUUGGGACUCUAGCUUAUGGAGGGGGAUACAUACGGGAAACUGUAGCUUAUACCGCGUACCAUAGGACGAGCCCAUGUGGGAUGAGGUAGUUGGUGAGGUAAAGGCUCACCAAGCCGACGAUCUCUCGCUGGUCUGAGAGGAUGACCGACCACACUGGGACUGAGACACGGCCCAGACUCCUACGGGAGGCAGCAGUGGGGAAUAUUGGACAAUGGGCGAAAGCCUGAUCCAGCCAUGCCGCGUGUGUGAAGAAGGUCUUCGGAUUGUAAAGCACUUUAAGUUGGGAGGCGUUACCAACAGAAUAAGCACCGGCUAACUUCGUGCCAGCAGCCGCGGUAAUAC